ACAGUAAAAUAACAACCUGUACAAUCAGUUGCAAUUAGAUUAACUUAAAAGAUCGGAACGAGACACACACACAAAAAAUAAUUUUAAGACAAUAGACACAAAGCACCGACAAAAGAAUAUUUGCAAUUACUGGCUGAAAGCUCAAAGCUAAUAACAACUAGAACUGAAAUAAAUCUUGUUCUUCCAGAUUGAGUUAUCAAACAGUACACAACGCGCG
rnacentral:lncRNA from 1 species